UGAGCCAGUAGCUCAGUCGGUAGAGCAUCGGACUUUUAAUCCGGUGGUCGAGGGUUCGAGUCCCUCCUGGCUCAU
rnacentral:tRNA from 1 species